rnacentral:rRNA from 1 species
GAUCAUGGCUCAGGACGAACGCUGGCGGCGUGCCUAACACAUGCAAGUCGAGCGGACGAGGGGAGCUUGCUCCCCAAGUUAGUGGCGGACGGGUGAGUAACACGUGAGCAACCUGCCCUUCGGAGGGGGACAACAGCUGGAAACGGCUGCUAAUACCGCAUGAAACAGCGGGGAGGCAUCUCCCUGCUGUCAAAGAUUUAUCGCCGAAGGAUGGGCUCGCGUCUGAUUAGAUAGUUGGUGAGGUAACGGCCCACCAAGUCGACGAUCAGUAGCCGGACUGAGAGGUUGAACGGCCACAUUGGGACUGAGAUACGGCCCAGACUCCUACGGGAGGCAGCAGUGGGGAAUAUUGGGCAAUGGGGGGCAACCCUGACCCAGCAACGCCGCGUGAAGGAAGAAGGCUUUCGGGUUGUAAACUCCUUUGACGAGGGACGAUAGUGACGGUACCUCGAAAACAAGCCACGGCUAACUACGUGCCAGCAGCCGC